CUGUGCACAUAAUACCAUUUUAUUUUCAGGACUUUCCUUGUGCAAAAUGGAAAGAGAUGACUUAAGCUGACAACGUGGGUGCCUCAUUGAGCAGAGUGAGCUCGACGAAGAAUAACAGCACAGAGGAACAGCAAUAGAAGUUAUUCGUUUCUUUUGGCAAGUUUCACUCUGUCACGCUGGGAAAUGUCUCUUACAGAGUCGAAGCAAAAGAAAUAAAGCUUGUCUGCGCAGAUGGGAAAACAUUCAAGGUUAAUUAAUGGAAAUACUUAGUGUUACAUAUCGAAGAUGUGCUAUAUAAUUGAACCCAAAGGAUUUUUUAAAUUCUCUUUUUUCUCUUUUUUUACCUUCUGAAAAUUACAUCCCAGUCAGACACAUUGAUGAUCUCUGUUCCUUUAUGUCAUAAUUUAUACACACAAAGCCUGCUUGGCAAAUAAAUUGAAUACUGAAAUUGUGUCUUUAAAUAAUGAAUGGCUG
rnacentral:lncRNA from 1 species